rnacentral:tRNA from 3 species
GGGGAUGUAGCUCAGCUGGAAGAGCACCUGCUUUGCACGCAGGGGGUCAGGGGUUCGAGUCCCCUCAUCUCCACCA